GCCCGCACAGGAUUCUUAUAGGCACAGGACGAGGAAUGGGAGAUUGAGUUCUAUUCCAGACUUUCUCAUUGCUUUGUUGGCUGGCUUUGAUCAAGUUCCUUAGCUCUUGGGAGUCUCCAUUUCCUCAUUUAUAAAAUGGGAAUAAUAUCAUUAUUCCCACCCAGGAUUUUUGUGACGAUCAAGAAGGUCAUGAAACACCAGAGUCAUGAAAUGUAUUAUAAAACAUAAAACAUUUUUAAUACUGUGUUGUAGUUUUUCAUGAGUAUUCCUUGUGCCUCAAACUAGAUAGAUUCACAGCACGGUGACUUGAACAGCCAGUUUUCAAAAGCUGUGAGCUAGGAAGGGAGAGGUACUGUGAGAAAUAUGAGAGAGCAGCUAUUAGAUGAGCAUUUCUAGUCAUCAUUUCAUCCAUUGAGACUUUUCCAUAUAAAUUAUUUUGAAUUUUUCCCCUAGGAGUAGCCAGUGAAGGGGAAAAUGAACAGCUGGAAUUAUCAGGAACAUUUUAAAGAUCCAGGACCAGGAAGAACAGACAAUAAUGUAUAGAUAAUAAUGAAAGGCUCAAGAUACCUCUUGUUGGGUUACAGAAUCCAUCCUGCACAUAUUCUGUUGAACUCAGUGAACUCUCAGAUUCCAUCCGUUGUGUUUUUGGAGGAAGACAACAAAAGCAAAUCCCAAGCAAAGGUGGUAGGACUACUUCAGGAUCUAAGUCCAGGAGAAUAGCCAGUAAGUAGUAUUACUGUCUUUUGGAACCACCUAAAUCCUGCCUCUUUUGAAGGCUGUUCAGGAAUGGCAUGGGUGUAGUGUUCGAAAGCAGGGCAUUCACAAUUUUUUAUGAAAUGUUAUAAAGCUACUCAGAGUUCUGAGUAGACUUGUUGCAUUUCUUUCAUUGAGAAGAGACAAUGUCACCCCUAAACACUUACUCACUGUCUUUUACCCACACUUCUGAACCUCUGUGGGGUGGCUUAGGCCCCAGACUCACUAGCAGUUUAGAGGGUGGUCCUGAGAGGGAAGUGGUGGCUUUUCUGAUGUGACUGCUUUUAUGUAUUGCUUCACGACAACGAUUUUCAUGAAUAUCAUGACAGGUCAUGAACCACAAUGAUUUAUCAAACCCUAAUCAAGAAUGGACUACAGUGGAGUCACACAUUACAGGGAGGAUUACAUUCCAAAGAUAGUGAGUCAGUGAGAAUCACAGAGAGGCAGAGUAAUUCUUGGAAAGCUUUAAGGAAGAUGCACCAUUGGAAACUGAGAUAGAGCCAGUUUUCCUUUGGAUUUUCAAGCAGAUGAGCACCA
rnacentral:lncRNA from 12 species